rnacentral:rRNA from 1 species
AGGUCAAGCGGGUAAGGGCACAUGGUGGAUGCCUUGGCAUCAAGGGCCGAAGAAGGGCGUGGCACGACUGCGAUAAGCCUCGGUGAGCUGUCUAGCAAGCUUAGCCGGGGAUUCCCGAAUGGGGCAACCCGCUCAGGUAAACCCUGGGCACCCCCAGCUGAACACAUAGGCUGGGUGGAGGUAAGCAGGGGAAGUGAAACAUCUCAGUACCCUGAGGAAAGGAAAAUCAUUCCCUUAGUAGUGGCGAACGAACGGGGAAAAGCCCAAACCGUAUCAGCUUAGUGGCUCUGAGGCUUAUGCUGGUGCGGUGUUGUAAGGCAGGUAUGACCAAACUCAGAAUAGGUCAAGGAGUUACAAACCGAACCCUAGAAGAAGGUUCCUGGAACGGACCACCACAGAGGGUGACAGUCCCGUACACGAAAGGGGGAGGCUCCUUAUCUGUCCUUGAGUACCACGGGACACGAGAAAUCUUGUGGGAAGCAGCUCUGACCACAGAGCAAGGCUAAAUACCCUUGAUGACCGAUAGUGGACUAGUACCGUGAGGGAAAGGUGAAAAGUACCCCGGAAGGGGAGUGAAAUAGACCUGAAACCGUGUGCCUACAAGCAGUCAGAGCCUCGAGCAAUCGGGGUGAUGGCGUGCCUAUUGAAGAAUGAGCCGGUGAGUUAAUCUGUGUGGCAGGUUAAGCGAUUGACAUCGCGGAGCCGAAGCGAAAG